UACAGAGGGUGCAAGCGUUGUUCGGAAUUAUUGGGCGUAAAGCGCGUGUAGGCGGCUUUGCAAGUCGGGUGUGAAAGCCCUCAGCUUAACUGAGGAAGUGCGCCCGAAACUGCUUGGCUUGAGUACCGGAGAGGAUGGCGGAAUUCCCAAGUAGAGGUGAAAUUCGUAGAUAUGGGGGAGGAACACCGGUGGCGAAGGCGGCCAUCUGGACGGAUACUGACGCUGAGACGCGAAAGCGUGGGUAGCAAACAGG
rnacentral:rRNA from 1 species